rnacentral:rRNA from 1 species
UGCCAGUAGUCAUAUGCUUGUCUCAAAGAUUAAGCCAUGCAUGUCUAAGUACAAGCCGAAUUAAGGUGAAACCGCGAAUGGCUCAUUAAAUCACACCUAAUAUACUGGGUAUCAUCAGUUACUUGGAUAACUGCGGUAAUUCUGGAGCUAAUACGUGCGCAUAAAUCCCGAACUACCGUGAGGGAUGCUUUUAUUAGACCAAAACCAACCGGCUCACAAGGCCGUCCUGUUGGUGAUUCAGAAUAACCAUACGCCGAUCGCAUGGCUUUAUGCCGGCGACGUACCCUUCUAAGGUGUGCCCUAUCAACUGUCGACUGUGGCAUAGACGCCCACAGUGGUUGUGACGGGUAACGGGGAAUCAGGGUUCGAUUCCGGAGAGGGAGCCUGAGAAACGGCUACCACUUCUAAGGAAGGCAGCAGGCACGCAAAUUACCCAAUGGUCGAAGACCGAGGUAGUGACGAAAAAUAACGAAGCCGGACUCAUCCGAGGCCCGGUUAUCGGAAUGAGUACACUUUAAAUCCUUUAACGAGGAACAAUUGGAGGGCAAGUCUGGUGCCAGCAGCCGCGGUAAUUCCAGCUCCAAUAGCGUAUAUUAAAGUUGUUGCGGUCAAAAAGCUCGUAGUUGGAUCUUGGCGGGUAGGGAGUUGGUUCGCUUUCUUUUUUGGAGCGCUACUACUCCCUUUACUCGUGGUCUCUGGCGGAGGCUCUGGGGUGCUCUUUACCGGGUGUCUCAGGGUGCCGUCAAGUUUACUUUGAAAAAAUUAGAGUGCUCAAAGCAAGCUUUAUUUAGCUUGAAUAUCCGUGCAUGGAAUAAUAGAAUAGGACGUCGUUUCUAUUUUGUUGGUUUUCGGAAAGGACGUAAUGAUUAAUAGAGACAGUCGGGGGCAUUAGUAUUCAGACGACAGAGGUGAAAUUCUUGGACCGUCUGAAGACUAACUACUGCGAAAGCAUUUGCCAAGAAUGUUUUCAUUAAUCAAGAACGAAAGUUAGAGGUUCGAAGGCGAUCAGAUACCGCCCUAGUUCUAACCAUAAACGAUGCCAGCUAGCGAUCCGCGGGUAUUACUACUUUGAUCCUGCGGGAAGCUUCCGGGAAACCAAAGCUUUUGGGUUCCGGGGGAAGUAUGGUUGCAAAGCUGAAACUUAAAGGAAUUGACGGAAGGGCACCACCAGGAGUGGAGCCUGCGGCUUAAUUUGACUCAACACGGGAAAUCUCACCAGGCCCGGACACCGGAAGGAUUGACAGAUUGAGAGCUCUUUCUCGAUUCGGUGGGUGGUGGUGCAUGGCCGUUCUUAGUUGGUGGAGUGAUUUGUCUGGUUAAUUCCGAUAACGAACGAGACUCUGUCCUGCUAAAUAGUUUGAACGUCUAAUAUAUUUGCGUUGAAAUUUCUUCUUAGAGGGACUGGCAGCGUCUAGCUGCACGAGAUUGAGCAAUAACAGGUCUGUGAUGCCCUUAGAUGUUCUGGGCUGCACGCGCGCUACACUGAAAGACUCAGCGUGUGUUCCCUUUCUGAGAGGAACGGGCAACCCGCUGAACUUCUUUCGUGGUAGGGAUCGGGGCUUGCAAUUAUUCCCCGUGAACCAGGAAUUCCCAGUAAGCGCAAGUCAUAAGCUUGCGUUGAUUACGUCCCUGCCCUUUGUACACACCGCCCGUCGCUACUACCGAUUGAACGUUUUAGUGAGGUAUUCGGAUUGGACCGCCGGAGGGAAACCUUUUGGCGUGUUUGAGAAGACUCCCAAACUUGAGCGUUUAGAGGAAGUAAA